rnacentral:lncRNA from 1 species
UUGAGGAGUAAUAUCCUCAANCCGCCACCACCACUAUCCCAUUCGAGGAAUCGUUUAGAAUCCUGGCUACCUCCUCCACCACCACCACUAUCACCACCCCAACAUUCGCGGUAUUUAGAUCCCUGCUGGUCACCAUCCCAUUCGUCGAAUUUUUUAGAACCUUGCCAAUCACCAUCACCACCACUAUCACCACCCCCACAUUCACAGUACUUAGAACCCUACUGGCCACCAUCCCCUUCGUGGGAUUUUUUAGAAUCCUGGCAAUCACCAUCACCACCCAAGAACGGAUCCAGGACUGGAGUACAAACUGGGCUAACACGUAAAAAAAAUAAAAAAUUACACAAAAUUUUUUUUAAAAUUAAAAAAAAUUUUAAAAUUUUUUAAAGUAAAAAAAUGAAAGGGGCUGGCCCUUACAUCCGUCAGUGUCACCACCACCGCCGCAUCAUCAUUCAUCACCCUGGGAUUAUUUUCUAAGUACUCUUGAUUCUCCCUUUGAGUUGGAGUGAUGAAAAAAAUAUUCAUAUCAUCAAUAUCAUAUCUAUUAUAAAAUAAGUCCUAGUUCAUUUUUAAUUUUUCCUUUUUUGUAUGGAUCUCAAAUUUACAAGUUGUUUUGCUUAUUUGUCGAAGGAAAAUGGAAAUAAAGUUUGCAUUUUGCUGUUGUAGUAUUUUGUUAAUUAUGAUUGUUAGAUGUUGUAAAUCACUUCUUUAAAUUUAAAUAUAUAUAGUGGAUGAUUCCUAGUUUACCAGUAACUUUAUCUUUUAAUGAUGUUCUGAAAAUUACUCCAUUGAUAGAAUGGAAUAUGUCGAAUGUCGCUGCAUGGUGAAAAGCAUUUCUUCCGCUUUUGGAAG